UACAGUGCAGAUACGGGAGUACCAUCGGCGGCAUCCAGCUUCGCGAUAUGUUGAUACUACUGAUGAGUAUGAACAUCUUCUUAAGGAGGAGCCAGUCAUUGAGUUCACUGGAGAGGAAGCCUUUGGACGGUACCUUGAUUUACAUGAACUAUAUAAUGAGUACAUCAACUCCAAGUUUGGGCAGCAAAUUGAGUACUCUGCUUAUCUUGAUGUGUUUUCAGAUACAACGAAGAUAUCAAACAAAUUGAAGUUAACUAGGUGAAGUUGUUAUAUAUUGUGGAUUUUUGGUCGCUUCUGCAAAAUAUGUCUCCAAGCUCCAUUUA